GACGAACGCUGGCGGCGUGCUUAACACAUGCAAGUCGAACGUAAAGGCCCUGCUUUUGUGGGGUGCUCGAGUGGCGAACGGGUGAGUAACACGUGAGUAACCUGCCCUUGACUUUGGGAUAACUUCAGGAAACUGGGGCUAAUACCGGAUAGGAGCUCCUGCUGCAUGGUGGGGGUUGGAAAGUUUCGGCGGUUGGGGAUGGACUCGCGGCUUAUCAGCUUGUUGGUGGGGUAGUGGCUUACCAAGGCUUUGACGGGUAGCCGGCCUGAGAGGGUGACCGGCCACAUUGGGACUGAGAUACGGCCCAGACUCCUACGGGAGGCAGCAGUGGGGAAUAUUGCACAAUGGGCGGAAGCCUGAUGCAGCAACGCCGCGUGCGGGAUGACGGCCUUCGGGUUGUAAACCGCUUUCGCCUGUGACGAAGCGUGAGUGACGGUAAUGGGUAAAGAAACACCGGCUAACUACGUG
rnacentral:rRNA from 1 species